rnacentral:pre_miRNA from 1 species
UAAAAAAAAUGUAUGGAGUUGAAACAGCGUCCCUACGUUUGCCGCUAGGGGCGCUGUUCUAACUCCAUACAAAAUUGAGUUA